GACGAACGCUGGCGGCGUGCCUAAUACAUGCAAGUAGAACGCUGAAGGAGGAGCUUGCUUCUCUGGAUGAGUUGCGAACGGGUGAGUAACGCGUAGGUAACCUGCCUGGUAGCGGGGGAUAACUAUUGGAAACGAUAGCUAAUACCGCAUAAUAGCAGUUGUUGCAUGACAACUGUUUGAAAGGUGCAAUUGCACCACUACCAGAUGGACCUGCGUUGUAUUAGCUAGUUGGUGGGGUAACGGCUCACCAAGGCGACGAUACGUAGCCGACCUGAGAGGGUGGUCAGCCACACUGAGACGGAGACACGGCCCAGAGGCCUACAGGUGGGAGCAGUAGGGAAUCGGCGGGAAGGGGCGGAAGUCUGACCGAGCAACGCCGCGGGAGUGAAGAGGGUUGUCGGAUCGGAAAGCUCGGUUGUAAGAGAAGAACGAGUGUUAGAGUGGAAAGUUCACACUGUGACGGUAUCGGAUCAGAAAGGGACGGCUAACUACGUG
rnacentral:rRNA from 1 species